rnacentral:rRNA from 1 species
GACGAACGCUGGCGGCGUGCUUAACACAUGCAAGUCGAACGGAAAGGCCCUGCUUUUGUGGGGUGCUCGAGUGGCGAACGGGUGAGUAACACGUGAGUAACCUGCCCUUGACUUUGGGAUAACUUCAGGAAACUGGGGCCAAUACCGGAUAGGAGCUCCUGCUGCAUGGUGGGGGUUGGAAAGUUUCGGCGGUUGGGGAUGGACUCGCGGCUUAUCAGCUUGUUGGUGGGGUAGUGGCUUACCAAGGCUUUGACGGGUAGCCGGCCUGAGAGGGUGACCGGCCACAUUGGGACUGAGAUACGGCCCAGACUCCUACGGGAGGCAGCAGUGGGGAAUAUUGCACAAUGGGCGGAAGCCUGAUGCAGCAACACCGCGUGCGGGAUGACGGCCUUCGGGUUGUAAACCGCUUUCGCCUGUGACGAAGCGUGAGUGACGGUAAUGGGUAAAGAAGCACCGGCUAACUACGUGCCAGCAGCCGCGGUGAUACGUAGGGUGCGAGCGUUGUCCGGAUUUAUCGGGCGUAAAGGGCUCGUAGGUGGUUGAUCGCGUCGGAAGUGUAAUCUUGGGGCUUAACCCUGAGCGUGCUUUCGAUACGGGUUGACUUGAGGAAGGUAGGGGAGAAUGGAAUUCCUGGUGGAGCGGUGGAAUGCGCAGAUAUCUGGAGGAACACCAGUGGCGAAGGCGGUUCUCUGGGCCUUUCCUGACGCUGAGGAGCGAAAGCGUGGGGAGCGAACAGGCUUAGAUACCCUGGUAGUCCACGCUGUAAACGGUGGGUACUAGGUGUGGGGUCCAUUCCACGGGUUCCGUGCCGUAGCUAACGCUUUAAGUACCCCGCCUGGGGAGUACGGCCGCAAGGCUAAAACUCAAAGGAAUUGACGGGGCCCCGCACAAGCGGCGGAGCAUGCGGAUUAAUUCGAUGCAACGCGUAGAACCUUACCUGGGUUUGACAUGGAUCGGGAGUGCUCAGAGAUGGGUGUGCCUCUUUUGGGGUCGGUUCACAGGUGGUGCAUGGCUGUCGUCAGCUCGUGUCGUGAGAUGUUGGGUUAAGUCCCGCAACGAGCGCAACCCUUGUUCACUGUUGCCAGCACGUUAUGGUGGGGACUCAGUGGAGACCGCCGGGGUCAACUCGGAGGAAGGUGGGGAUGACGUCAAGUCAUCAUGCCCCUUAUGUCCAGGGCUUCACGCAUGCUACAAUGGCUGGUACAGAGAGUGGCGAGCCUGUGAGGGUGAGCGAAUCUCGGAAAGCCGGUCUCAGUUCGGAUUGGGGUCUGCAACUCGACCUCAUGAAGUCGGAGUCGCUAGUAAUCGCAGAUCAGCAACGCUGCGGUGAAUACGUUCCCGGGGCU